AAAGAUGAAAAGAACUUUGAAAAAAGAGUCAAAGAGUGCUUGAAAUUGGCGGGAAGGAAGUGGAUGGGGGUCGACGAUGCAUCUCGAUCGGAUGUGGAAUGGUGACGAGCCGGUCCGUCGAUCGACUCGGGGCUUGGACCAACAUGAAUCGAGGCAAAGGCCAAAGCAUGACCAGUCGACAUGCCCACAAAUGUCGUCGCCCCGAUUGUCGCGGAAAGCUCGCGCCCUUGGCGUACCUCGACACCUGUGCGCUCCCGGUGAUGGCCUGCGGGCUUCCCAUUCGACCCAUCUUGAAAUACGG
rnacentral:rRNA from 1 species